UACAGAGGGUGCGAGCGUUAAUCGGAAUUACUGGGCGUAAAGGGUGCGUAGGUGGUUUGGUGUGUGUUAUGUGAAAGCCCCGGGCUUAACCUGGGAAGUGCAUAGCAAACUGCCAGACUGGAGUACAAGAGAGGGUAGUGGAAUUUCCGGUGUAGCGGUGAAAUGCGUAGAUAUCGGAAGGAACGUCAAUGGCGAAGGCAGCUACCUGGCUUGAUACUGACACUGAGGCACGAAAGCGUGGGGAGCGAACAGG
rnacentral:rRNA from 1 species